rnacentral:rRNA from 1 species
CCCUUAGAUGUUCUGGGCAGCACGCGCGCUACAAUGGUAUUCGCAAACGGAUGCAUUCUCGAAGGAGAAUGCCAAUCUUGGAAUCUAUGCCUUGGUCGGGACAGUUGCUUGCAAUUUUUCGACUCGAACCAGGAAUUCCUUGUAAUCGUGAUUCAUCACAUCACGAUGAAUACGUCCCUGCCCUUUGUACACACCGCCCGUCGCUCCUACCGAUCGAAGAGUUAGGUGAAUUGUUUUGAUCGAUAAGAUUUGACUAUGGUCAACUCUCGUUGUGAAAUUCUGUGAAUCUGACUGUUUAGAGGAAGGAAAAGUCGUAACA